rnacentral:rRNA from 1 species
GAUCCUGGCUCAGAUUGAACGCUGGCGGCAGGCCUAACACAUGCAAGUCGAGCGGUAGAGAGAAGCUUGCUUCUCUUGAGAGCGGCGGACGGGUGAGUAAUGCCUAGGAAUCUGCCUGGUAGUGGGGGAUAACGUUCGGAAACGGACGCUAAUACCGCAUACGUCCUACGGGAGAAAGCAGGGGACCUUCGGGCCUUGCGCUAUCAGAUGAGCCUAGGUCGGAUUAGCUAGUUGGUGGGGUAAUGGCUCACCAAGGCGACGAUCCGUAACUGGUCUGAGAGGAUGAUCAGUCACACUGGAACUGAGACACGGUCCAGACUCCUACGGGAGGCAGCAGUGGGGAAUAUUGGACAAUGGGCGAAAGCCUGAUCCAGCCAUGCCGCGUGUGUGAAGAAGGUCUUCGGAUUGUAAAGCACUUUAAGUUGGGAGGAAGGGUUGUAGAUUAAUACUCUGCAAUUUUGACGUUACCGACAGAAUAAGCACCGGCUAACUCUGUGCCAGCAGCCGCGGUAAUACAGAGGGUGCAAGCGUUAAUCGGAAUUACUGGGCGUUAAGCGCCCGUAGGUUGGUUAGUUAAGUUGGAUGUUAAA